UACAGAGGGUGCAAGCGUUAAUCGGAAUUACUGGGCGUAAAGCGUGCGUAGACGGUUAUGUAAGUCAGAUGUGAAAGCCCCGGGCUUAACCUGGGAAUGGCAUUUGAGACUGCAUAGCUAGGGUGCGGAAGAGGGAAGCGGAAUUUCCGGUGUAGCGGUGAAAUGCGUAGAUAUCGGGAGGAACACCUGUGGCGAAAGCGGCGCACUGGACCACAACUGACGCUGAGGCGCGAAAGCUAGGGGAGCAAACAGG
rnacentral:rRNA from 1 species